GACGAACGCUGGCGGCGUGCUUAACACAUGCAAGUCGAACGGAAAGGCCCUGCUUUUGUGGGGUGCUCGAGUGGCGAACGGGUGCGUAACACGUGAGUAACCUGCCCUUGACUUUGGGAUAACUUCAGGAAACUGGGGCUAAUACCGGAUAGGAGCUCCUGCUGCAUGGAGGGGGUUGGAAAGUUUCGGCGGUUGGGGAUGGACUCGCGGCUUAUCAGCUUGUUGGUGGGGUAGUGGUUUUCCAAGGCUUUGACGGGUAGCCGGCCUGGGAGGGUGACCGGCCACAUUGGGACUGAGGUACGGACCAGACUCCUACGGGAGGCAGCAGUGGGGAAUAUUGCACAAUGGGCGGACGCCUGAUGCAGCAGCGCCGCGUGCGGGAUGACGGCCUUCGGGUUGUAAACCGCUUUCGCCUGUGACGAAGCGUGAGUGACGGUAAUGGGUAAAGAAGCACCGGCUAACUACGUG
rnacentral:rRNA from 1 species